rnacentral:lncRNA from 1 species
CAAGGAAACACUGACUUGAAAACUCUCCCCCAUGGUUUUGUCUGAACUGGCUGCCAUUCUGCAGCACACACCAGAUCCAAUUGCUGGAGUCGGGAACCCGAGAGGUGAGCAAGAGCAAGCACUUAGCUGAGUGAGUCAGGCGGGCCUGCGUGAAAGGAUGUAGAUACACUGCCUCUAGGACUGGGACAGAUAGCCACUGAGUACCUGCUUCAAAUCACCCUGCACGUUUUCUCUUUGGAAAGAUAAGCACUGGAGAACCAUCUCGUUACCUUCAGCAGAAAUGGAAACAAAUCAAGACAUUAAGAAUGCCGCAGUGGACAGCAGUUAUGCAAGGUUCAGCAGAGGAAGUUUUCAAGAUGGUGUGCCUCACUAGCCAGAAAUCAGAAAAGAUCGAAGCUAGCCUUUUCAUCUCAGCUGCUCCUUAAAUCAGUGCAACCCCUCCAAAUUAAUGUGAAUUGAAACUUGCAUUGCUUUUCAACUUAAUUGAAUACUUACUAUAUGUGAACCACUGCACAAAAUAGGGGAAGAAGAUGUGGGAGACAAAGAUGUGGAGCCUGUCUUCAAUAAAUUUACAGUUAGUUUCAGGGUA